AGUAUUGGAGGCUUUUUGUUUGUUUGUUUGUUUGUUUGUUUUUUCCUGGGCUAAAAUGCCUGACACAAUCAACUUAUGGGUUUGUUUGGAUCACAGUUUGAAGACACCAUCAGUUACUGGGGUCUUGGGUGAGGGAUGAUCACCUAAGGGUGCCACUGAGUUCCAACUCUGGCCAGACACAGAAUUAUGUUCUGGAAAGCGCCACUCAGACCAGACCAUGAAGGGAGAAGGGCAGCUGAAGGAUGUGGCAGCCAGAGAGUGAGGGCUGGAAGCAAAAGAGGAAGCUUCUCCAAAAGUGAAAGAAACAGCGAUCUGAGGCACGUAAGUAGAGAUCCUGAGGAUCCUGAACAAAGUCCUGGCUACAGAUCUGGGGACAGCUGACGGAGAGGAUCCCAGCCACAUUUAGGUGAGUCUUCCUACCUGAAAGAUCUCAGUCUAGAAACGGCUUCACCGCUAUGCCCACAGUUUGUCUCCUUGUGUGGCGCUGCAUCCCGGAAGUCAAUCAACUGUGCGAACCUGGUAAGUGUGCCCAGAGCUUUGAACCUGGAUGUUACUCAUUUCAACCCAAUGUGCCUCCUCUAGUCUCCCACCAGAGAACCCAGCGGUUCUGGAAGAUUCUUCAGAAAAGCAGGGGCAUUUCAUGGCUGCCUUCCUUCUAUAAAUGUUGGGCACUGACAGCUAAAGCCCAAGUCACAUCUGAGCACAAUGAAAGGAGAGACAGGAAGAAGUGUCGAGAUUGAAGUCACGGUAGGAAGGGUGGGAGUUUCACCGCGAGGGCCUGGCAGACAGUGAAAUGUUAUGUGGGUCUGGCCCGAAGGCCGGUUUCUCCCACCGCACUGGGUUGGCCUGAGGUGGGCACUGGGUUGGCCUGAGGUGGGGAAGUGCUACCCUUUUUAUUUCACAAACUGCUUUACAAAGCAGGCACGGCUCAUGUUGGCAAUUUCUGUCAUUUUACAGGAUAAGCUGUUUCAAUUUUGUCAGUAGUGGACAAAUGAUAGAGGUGGUAGCCUAGAGGAAAAGAUUUACAUUGUGGAAGUUUGCUUACAACUAUUUGAAUACUUAGUGUACCGCAUGGAAGGAAGUUCAAAGGGCAUCAACUUAAGGGAAGACAGUGUGUGAGGACAUCUCUGGGGGGAAGGUUCCCCCAAUACAAGCUUUACAUCUCAGAUGGAAAGGUAUGCUGGCAGUCAGGAGCCAAGGAAUUCCACAAAGUCAUACCACACAACAAACCUCACACAAGAGACUUAUUGGGAAGGACACAGGAGUGUGGCAGCCUCUGCUCUGUCCAGGAGCUGUGGUGUGACCAGCUGCCUCAUGCUCCUGCCACACACCUUCUCCACCCUGAGGGGCUGGACUCUCAAACCGUGACGCCAGAUGAACCCUUCUUCUCUUUAAGUUGCUUUCCUUUGGGUAUGUGGUCACAGCAAGAAAAGUAGCUAAUAUACUAACUCAGAAAAUUAGAAUGACUUGUAUUUUUUAAAAAAAAAAAUCAAUUCUAACUAUUGAAAAAAAACUAGAAGAGAGAAUUUUUUUUGAAAAUAAAAGAAUUCAUCAAUUUGAUCCUAAAAUGACUUCCCCCAAAGGAAUAGCCCCCAAUAAAUCUGCA